rnacentral:rRNA from 1 species
AGAGUUGAUCAUGGCUCAGGACGAACGCUGGCGGCGUGCCUAACACAUGCAAGUCGAGCGAUGAAGUCUUCGGAGCGGAUAGCGGCGGACGGGUGAGUAACACGUGGGUAACCUGCCUUGUAGAGGGGGAUAGCCUUCCGAAAGGAAGAUUAAUACCGCAUAACAUCUUUUUAUCGCAUGGUAGAAAGAUCAAAGGAGCAAUCCCGCUACAAGAUGGACCCGCGGCGCAUUAGCUAGUUGGUGAGGUAACGGCUCACCAAGGCGACGAUGCGUAGCCGACCUGAGAGGGUGAUCGGCCACAUUGGAACUGAGACACGGUCCAGACUCCUACGGGAGGCAGCAGUGGGGAAAUAUUGCGCAAUUAGGGGGGAAAACCCCGACGCAGCAACGCCGCGUGAAUGAAGAAGGCCUUAGGGUUGUAAAAGUUCUGUUUACGGGGACGAUAAUGACGGUACCCGUGGAGGAAGCCACGGCUAACUACGUGCCAGCAGCGGC